AUUGAACGCUGGCGGAAUGCUUUACACAUGCAAGUCGAACGGUAGAGGGGGCAACCCCUCGAGAGUGGCGAACGGGUGAGUAAUAUAUCGGAACGUGCCCAGUCGUGGGGGAUAACGUAGCGAAAGUUACGCUAAUACCGCAUACGAUCGAAGGAUGAAAGCGGGGGAUCGCAAGACCUCGCGUGAUUGGAGCGGCCGAUAUCAGAUUAGGUAGUUGGUGGGGUAAAGGCUCACCAAGCCAACGAUCUGUAGCUGGUCUGAGAGGACGACCAGCCACACUGGAACUGAGACACGGUCCAGACUCCUACGGGAGGCAGCAGUGGGGAAUUUUGGACAAUGGACGCAAGUCUGAUCCAGCCAUUCCGCGUGCAGGAUGAAGGCCCUCGGGUUGUAAACUGCUUUUGUACGGAACGAAAAGGUCUCUCUUAAUACGGGGGGCUCAUGACGGUACCGUAAGAAUAAGCACCGGCUAACUACGUGCCAGCCGCCGCAGUAA
rnacentral:rRNA from 1 species